AGCAAAAUGAUGAAAUCAGUUAGAUCUGAACUUGAUGUAGAUCAUUUGUCUAAUAUAGGUCUUCAAAGUUCUCUGAUUGCU